rnacentral:tRNA from 1 species
GGGGUUGUGGCUGAGUGGUAGAGCACUUGCCUAGUGUGCAUGAGGCACUGGGUUCAACCCCCAGCACCACA